rnacentral:misc_RNA from 1 species
AGAGUAUUUCAUCAGCUGUGGUUCCAACACUACUAUUUUUUCCGCUGGCCGGAACUUCACCGGGGACUCAAAUUCUGGAAAUUCUCUUUCCUUCGCCAUCGAAGGGAAGAGCAUCACUGUUAAAGAUAGCAGCAGGUCAACGAAAACACCACCCCUGUAUCAAACAGCUAGACUCUUCAAGCAAAAAUCAUUUUAUGAGUUCGAAAUCAUUAUCUCUGGUACUUAUCUGUCGUGCAGGAAGUAGUAAUAGUAAUUACGAGGGCAUACUCUCUAAGGCAUUGCAAACAAUUCACAGGAUCAAUGUU